UACGUAGGGGGCAAGCGUUGUCCGGAUUUAUUGGGCGUAAAGAGCGUGUAGGCGGCCUGGUAGGUCAGCUGUGAAACUCGAGGCUCAACCUCGAGACGCCGGUUGAAACCAUCAGGCUAGAGUCCGGAAGAGGAGAGUGGAAUUCCCGGUGUAGCGGUGAAAUGCGCAGAUAUCGGGAAGAACACCCGUGGCUAAGGCGGCUCUCUGGGACGGUACUGACGCUGAGA
rnacentral:rRNA from 1 species